GCCUCUGCAACCUCUCUCCUUAUUGUUUUUAGUAUAGUUAUAAUGUAUUAUAUAUCAUAUAUCAAUAAAUCCAGCCUUCUGAUCAUCAACUGAGAUUCUCAUCCAUCUCUCUCACCAUAAAGACCUCUUCAGUGGAGUCGAUCAUGAGUAAAGAGAAAACAGUAAGAUACAGUCAAAACCAGGAGAAGAAAUGAACCCAACAGGAGUCAGGAUGAACUGUAAAAAAAGAAGAGUCUCCAGGCAGCUACCAGCACCUACGAGAGGAACAGAAAACAUGGUGAGAGAACAAAUAUCCCCCUACUCGCUGCUGAAAGAGGGGAGCCUCUUGAACAACCCAGCUGUGGAGCUCAGCACUCCCAGCCAGCUCACCCCGGGAUGGAGAGACCUCAUCCCACGGAGCUCCCGCAGCCCCAGAAGCAGCCGGGCUGUACCUGCG